rnacentral:lncRNA from 1 species
ACUCUUUUCCACACAGCGCCGGAAUGUAUGUGUCGUUCCUCUGCAUUUUGUGUCCUUGGAGCCGUAUCUUCGCGGUACCUCCUAGAGCUUCACCGGCAGAGCACCGUGUCAAACUUCUGAAUUUUUGCCAGUCGGAUGGAGGAGAAAUGGCACCUCAGCCUGGCCUCCCUCAGCAUCUCUCUUAUACGAGCAAAGUUAAUGCCUUCUCAUGUAUCCAAGGACCAUUUUUGCAACCUUUUGGGGAAACUGUUUUUCUUGCCCUUUGCUCAUUUUUCUCCAUGAUUUUUGCGCUUUUGUUUCUCGACUUUUAAAAAGUUCCUUGUAUAUGAAAGCCAUUCACCUUUUAUCAGUGAAAGCACGGGCUCAUCAAGAAGCUCUGGUUUUCUCCUGCCCGGACCCUCCCACGGAGCCUGCGGCCAGGAGGAAGCCAGCAGGAAGCAUGUUGGCACAGCCUCGGUGGAAGCGAAAGACCACACGCUGGAAUCCCAAAGCUUCAACUAUUCAUCAGCUGCCCAGUGCGCCAGUGGCGGUUCGGAGUGGCUGUUAACCUGGCGUUGACGCUAAACCUGGAGCAACAAGGACCGAAAUUCAGCCCAAACGACUGUUGGCACCUCCCCCUCUGAGGUCUCGUGGAAAUUGGAUGAUCAAUUUUUAAGUGGCUUUAAUGAAAUAUUAGUUCCUUCUCCUUUGAAAUCGAUUUCACCAAAGCCAAAGCUUUAGAUCAGGUGAAAUCGCUCUUGGAAUAUGCCAGAGACAGGAUCCACCAACAGGCAGGUCUUCUCCGCCACUGACUGCCGGGAAGUGUCAAAGAACUGGGAGCCAGAGAUGGUUCUAUGGUCUCGGGAGGGAGCAGGGCCCAUGCUUUCCUCACCAGUCCCUGACUCAGGGGGUGGCAGUGAGUGCCAGGGAGUGACUGGCAGCGUCCCGACAGAGUGAAAGAAUGAGCGAAUGAAUACGCACGAAGCCAGCCUGUUAGGCUCCAUCACGGAAAUGCUUGCUUUGCCUCCAGGGAGUCAGCUGAAG